rnacentral:rRNA from 1 species
GAGUUUGAUCAUGGCUCAGAUUGAACGCUGGCGGCAGGCCUAACACAUGCAAGUCGAGCGGUAGCACAAGAGAGCUUGCUCUCUGGGUGACGAGCGGCGGACGGGUGAGUAAUGUCUGGGAAACUGCCUGAUGGCGGGGGAUAACUAGUGGAAACGGUAGCUAAUACCGCAUAACGUCGCAAGACCAAAGUGGGGGACCUUCGGGCCUCACGCCAUCAGAUGUGCCCAGGUGGGAUUAGCUGGUAGGUGAGGUAACGGCUCACCUAGGCGACGAUCCCUAGCUGGUCUGAGAGGAUGACCAGCCACACUGGAACUGAGACACGGUCCAGACUCCUACGGGAGGCAGCAGUGGGGAAUAUUGCACAAUGGGCGCAAGCCUGAUGCAGC